UACGAAGGGGGCUAGCGUUGCUCGGAAUCACUGGGCGUAAAGCGCACGUAGGCGGCUUUUUAAGUCAGGGGUGAAAUCCUGGAGCUCAACUCCAGAACUGCCUUUGAUACUGGGAAGCUUGAGUCCGGGAGAGGUGAGUGGAACUCCGAGUGUAGAGGUGAAAUUCGUAGAUAUUCGCAAGAACACCAGUGGCGAAGGCGGCUCACUGGCUCGGUACUGACGCUGAGGUGCGAAAGCGUGGGGAGCAAACAGG
rnacentral:rRNA from 1 species